AAUCAACGCUGGCGGCGUGCCUAACACAUGCAAGUCGCACGAGAAAGGGACUUCGGUCCUGAGUACAGUGGCGCACGGGUGAGUAACACGUGAAUCAUCUACCUUCGAGUGGGAUAACUGAGAGAAAUCUUAGCUAAUACCGCAUAAUACCUACGGGUCAAAGCAGCAAUGCGCUUGAAGAGGAGUUCGCGGCAGAUUAGUUAGUUGGCAGGGAAUGGCCUACCAAGACGAUGAUCUGUAUCCGGCCUGAGAGGGCGCACGGACACACUGGAACUGAAACACGGUCCAGACUCCUACGGGAGGCAGCAGUGGGGAAUUUUGCGCAAUGGGGGAAACCCGUGAGCAGCAACGCCGCGUGGAGGAAGACGGCCCUACGGGUUGU
rnacentral:rRNA from 1 species